rnacentral:rRNA from 1 species
CACGUAGGGUGCGAGCGUUGUCCGGAAUUAUUGGGCGUAAAGAGCUCGUAGGCGGUGUGUCGCGUCGGCCGUGAAAACCUGCAGCUUAACUGUGGGCUUGCGGUCGAUACGGGCAUCACUGGAGUUCGGCAGGGGAGACUGGAAUUCCUGGUGUAGCGGUGAAAUGCGCAGAUAUCAGGAGGGAGCACCGGGUGGCGAAGGCGGGUCUCUGGGCCGAUACUGACGCUGGAGGCGACGGAAAGCGUGGGGAGCAAACGGG